CAAAAACUUACAGCUCUGGUCGGAUCUCUGUCUGACUGGGAUGUAAAUUUGAGCGUUUUGUACAAAAACCUCGAGCUGUUUCUCAGCUUGGGGGGACAAUCGCUUUAAAAUGAUUGUGCGUAGUGCGAAAGCUCGACUCUCAGUGCAACAGAUCAUUGGAACACCUGAGAGUUCGAACGUGCUAUGCCUUCAAAUCCACACGGGGCGUGCUCGCAGUUUAUGCGAGUGGCUCCGAUA
rnacentral:misc_RNA from 1 species